AUUGCACGCUGGCGGCAGGCCUAACACAUGCAAGUCGAGCGGAGCGGCGGACGGGUGAGUAAUUCCUAUGAAUCUGCCUGGUAGUGGGGGAUAACGUCCGGAAACGGGCGCUAAUACCGCAUACUCUCAGAUGAGCCUAGGUCGUCUUAGCUAGUUGGUGGGGUAAAGGCCUACCAAGGCGACGAUCCGUAACUGGUCUGAGAGGAUGAUCAGUCACAAUGGAACUGAGACAAGGUCCAGACGCCUACGGGAGGCAGCAGUGGGGAAUAUUGGACAAUGGGCGAAAGCAUGAUCCAGCCAUGCGGCGUGUGUGAAGAAGGUCUUCGGAUUGUAAAGUACUUUAAGUUGGGAGGCGUUACCAACAGAAUAAGCACCGGCUAACUUCGUGCCAGCAGCGGCGGUAAUUC
rnacentral:rRNA from 1 species